CCCCGACGCAAGAUGGCUGUGUCGCGUCGGCCUCUAAACAAUGUGUGGAGCGCGCAGCUCCUGCACCAGGGCCUGGUGGCUUGUCCUGCCCGCCCGUGGGGGCCGUGUGAUCUGUUUUCGGAAACCGAAAUAUUUAUUGUUGGAUUUAUCCAGGAAGGCUGUUCUGCAUUAGUUAAAUGCAUCAUAUCUUCAAGAAAUGUUAAAUGACAUGGGUAAUGUUUUCUUUGUAUGCUGGAUUUUUCAAUAGCUUCUACUUCUUGGCUUUAAAAAAUAUUUCUAACCAAGGGUCAGACCAUUUUAGGUAGAGUAAUUAUGAUCUUAGAUGAUUUGAACUAACUCAGCUGUCUGUCCAUUUGUGAAAUGGGAAUAAUAAUAUUUAUCUCUAUGAAGUUAGGCCACAAAUUCUUUCUAGUAGGUUCAAGUAUUUAAGCACCUGGAGAGGUGACUGGUUACCCUCCUAGUGGCUUCAGGAAGUUUUCUCACUGAAUGA
ensembl:lncRNA H3-3A-DT H3-3A divergent transcript